CUUGAAAUGGGCUGAGUCCCUCUUGCUCACCCUUGACUUGGAAAAACCAGUUUCUCUUUUAUUGUCUGUUACUAAUCUCUAUUCUAAAAAUUCAGCUCAAUUCUCAACCAUACUCCAAACUCUCUCUUUUCCAGCUACCUUUACUCCCUCUCCUUCAAUUCCACUUUCCUCUGCUUACUUUUUUUUUUUUUUCUGACAGGGUCUCACUUUGUCGCCCAGGCAGGAGUGCAGUGGCUCAAUCUUGGGCUCACUGCAGCCUCAACCUCCCAGGUUCAAACGAUUCUCCUGCCUCAGCCCCUCAAGUAGCUGGGACUACAAGCGCACACCACCACGCCUGACUAAUUUUUUGUAUUUUUUUGUAGAGGCGGGGUUUCACCAUGUUGCCCAGACUGGUCUUGAACUCCUGAGCUUAAGCAAUCCACCUGCCUCGGCCUCCCAAAGUGUUGGGAUCACAGGCGUGAGCCACCGCAUCCGGCCUCAUGUUCUUUUUCAUUAAAGAGAGAAAUCAACUAUUCAGGACCGGCCCCCACCUUUCCUCAGGAGUCAUUUCUGUUCUGCACAGGCCUGCUGAACUGGGUGCUUUAUAUAGGACACUGUCAUCUCUCAAGUACCCAUCUUGGAGGGUACGGACCCCACAUGAGGGUGAGGCUCUCUGCACACUCCAGAGUGAGGACUUUAAUAAUCUAGUGGACUGUACAUGUUGGGAGGGGAAGAGCGGGGUGCCGAGGGUCUGGAGGGAGAAGAAUUGACUGCCCCUUUUGCUCUUGGAGUUAAGCAGAAAUCUAAAGAGAAGGCAAAGCAUCUUGCCUUCCUGGCAUCAUUUCCUCCUACCAUCCCAGGCCAUCAUUUAUUUAUUACAGCCAACAGACUGGCCUCUUUCUUCCCUUUGACUGGGAAUGGGUCAAAGGCGGUGCAGGAGGAGGAUCUGGUCCAGAUAAUUCACAAGCAGGGUGCAUUUUCCUCUCAUUAUUGAGAACUGUGAGUGUUUAUCAAGAAGGCAGAGCGGGAGAAGAUGAACCAGUCUUCUUCCCCUCACUACCCAGAUCUCUGCCUGCCAACAAGCCCCGUGUUCACCCUGGCAAAGAGUCUUUACAUUCAGACCAAGGAGAGUGUGACUCCUUCUCAGCACUAGCUAGAAACCUCAAGCCCUUGCUUAAGGGCCUUUUUCAGAGAGACCCAAUGCCCAGAAGGCUAGAUGCGUGGGGAGGAGCCACAUACGAGAAACUGCCUCCCUGCUUCGGGUCAGAACAAGCCCCAGGAAGAAAGUAUUUCAAACAACAAGGUGCAUCUGCCUCAACCCAUCCAGCCUGCAUGUUGGUGCUGAGAACAGCCUUUUAUGGGGCUUGCACUGAGCUAUGGGCAUGUCUGAACACAACAAGGAAGAGGCCAGAGCAGCAACAGCACUCAAAGGGUUGAUGGGCAUUUCUUUUAAGAGAGAGCAGAAAACUCUUAGAUACUUUGCGUCCUUCCUAUUUGACUCAGUCUAUGAAAGCCUGGUUAGCUUUCUUUCUUCCUCCCUAAAUCCUCCAUCCUCAUGUCCAACAAAGAAAUAGUUGAAUCAUUUUCCAGGCACAUCUUGGGGAGGAUGUGGGGCCAUUGGAGGCUGUCCUUCCUAGAUAAGUCUUUAGGAGUGAGAACAAGGAGUCUUACCCUCCUCUGUCCACCCACCCCCAUCAAUGGGCCUGGCUCCAGCCAGGAGUUGUGGUUUUUCCUGAGCUCCUCACCUAUCUCUUCUGGAUUUCACAUUGGCAAACGGGGCUGCAAAGUGCUCUUCGUGCUCUUUGGACAGUGCCUUGUGGAGAGGAAUGCCCAUGCCCCUGCAUUCCAAGGCCUUGGUAAGCAAGCUCAGAGUAGCUGGAUUUUUCUAAAGCAAUUGCAGAACACCUGCUUUUUCUUUGUUUCCUCUAGAAAGGACCAACCACACCGAGCUCAGUUAUGGCACACACAGUGGGACCUAGACAAAGGGAGAGGGUGACCGGCAUCCCAACUAGAUUUCAGUGGAGUGAAGUUCAGGAGGCAUGGAGCUGACAACCAUGAGGCCUCGGCAGCCACCGCCACCACCGCCGCCGCCACCACCGUAGCAGCAGCAGCAGCAGCAGCAAGAGUAACUCUGACUUAGGAAUAGAGACAGCCAGAGAGAAAUGUGAUCAAUGAAGGAGACAUCUGGAGUGUGCGUGCUUCUUCAGAGGGACGGGUGAUGGGCAGAUUGGAAAAAGCACCGCAGAUGGGAACCUUAAUCUUUCUUUUCUAAAAUUGAUGCUAUGAAAAUUUGCGUUUUCUGUAACUUGUAAAAACUAAAGUUGCUUGUCUACUGAAAA